rnacentral:RNase_P_RNA from 1 species
UUGGAUUUUUGAAUGCUCGCUCUUCAAAAAUUUUUUGAGGAGAGGAAAGUCCGGACUCCAUAUGGUGCCGUAAAGGCUAACAGCCUUCCACCGCAAGGUGAGGACAAGUGGAACAGAGAGAAGGUCCAGAGCGGUGAUCCUAAACUUGAACGUGAGUUUAGGGGAGUGGAUGGAGUGAAAGCAGCUAAACUCUACGGGGAGCAAGAUCAAAUAGGAAAGCGCUUGAGUGCGACCAGCACGAAGCUUUCGGGUAGAUCGCUUAAGGAUCUCAGUAAUGGGGUUCUCAGAGGAAUGAGCAUUGAGAAAGAGAGGUAUCGUGAUCUCUUUUGGACAGAAUCCGGCUUAUAGAAAAUCCAUUACG